GCGACCCCAGGUCAGACGGGAUUACCCGCUGAGUUUA
rnacentral:rRNA from 1 species